AUACUUACCUGGCAGGGGAGAUACCAUGAUCACGAAGGUGGUUUUCCCAGGGCGAGGCUUAUCCAUUGCACUCUGGAUAUGCUGUCCCCUGCGAUUUCCACAAAUAUGGGAAACUUGACUGCAUAAUUUGUGGUAGUGGGGGACUGCGUUUGCGCUUUCCCCUA
rnacentral:snRNA from 1 species